CCUGAACGCUGGCGGCGUGGCUAAGACAUGCAAGUCGCACGGAGGUAGCAAUACCUCAGUGGCGAACGGGUGAGUAAUGAAUCGCUAAUGUGCCCCGGACUCUGAGAUAGCCGCCCGAAAGGGCAGGUAAUAUCAGAUGAUAUAACUUUUCCGCAUGGAAGAGUUCUCAAAGGUCCGCCGGUCUCCGGUAGGAUGGUCUGGGAGCAGGCGAUUUCGUAUCAGCUAGUUGGUGAGGUAACGGCUCACCAAGGCGACGACGCGUAGCCGGACUGAGAGGUUGGCCGGCCACAUUGGGACUGAGACACUGCCCAGACUCCUACGGGGGCGUGCAGUAACGAAUCUUCCGCAAUGCACGAAAGUGUGACGGAGCGACGCCGCGUGAGGGA
rnacentral:rRNA from 1 species